rnacentral:rRNA from 1 species
UACGAAGGGGGCUAGCGUUGCUCGGAAUCACUGGGCGUAAAGCGCACGUAGGCGGCUUUUUAAGUCAGGGGUGAAAUCCUGGAGCUCAACUCCAGAACUGCAUUUGAUACUGGGAAGCUUGAGUCCGGAAGAGGUGAGUGGAACUCCGAGUGUAGAGGUGAAAUUCGUAGAUAUUCGGAAGAACACCAGUGGCGAAGGCGGCUCACUGGUCCGGUACUGACGCUGAGGUGCGAAAGCGUGGGGAGCAAACAGG